CGACCUCGGAGCAGGCGAGAUUACGCGCCGAAUUUAAGCAUAUUCGUAAGCGUUGGAAAACAAACUAACCAGGAUUCCCUAGUAGCGGCAAGCGAAUAGGGAAGAGCCCAGCGCUGAACCCCGCGGCCGUUCCGGUCGCGGGGAAUGCAGCGUUCGGGAGCGUCCGUCAUCCCGCGGUGCGUUCAACUCCUUGAACAGGGACACUUAAACAUUGUUGCUUCCCCUGCGCUUCCACUGGGUGCUUCACCCCCCGUUCCACCACCGCGUCUACGCCUCUCUGCGCAUGCUACGCUGGCGGCGACGCUAACACUAGCACUAGCACUAGCACACACACAUCCGAUCGUCACGACAUGAAUGUUGAAACUACAUAUUAUCUUCUUUAGUGAUGUUUGAUGUAGGUACCUAUUAUGUUUAUUUUUUUUUG
rnacentral:ncRNA from 1 species